AACUUUGACUCCUUAUUUUUAUAAAAAUAUUUAUCAAAAUGUGGUAUAUGUAUACUUUUAUGAAGAUAUUUUUCAUGAUAAAUCUAUUGAAAAAAGUCUACACAACCCUCCAAAACUAUCUAGGGUGGAAUACUUCAUCCCAAAUUAUAAAACCAGAUAUUCUACCCCCUGAACUUUCAAAACUGGUCAAAUAAUCUCUAGAGUGGUUUUAGAGUGUGGUUUUGUCUUUGUUUUUUUUAUUUAUUUAUGCUAAAUCUUUGAAAAACCAUAAUAAAUCACAAAAAAUCAUAAAAUAAAAAAAAAUAAUUUUGUUGGACUCCUGAUGAGU
rnacentral:lncRNA from 1 species